AGGCUACGAUGAGAAAAGUCAUUGACCACUCUGAAGAGAUUUAUCUCUUUGUGAUGAUAAACUAACUUUACAACCCAUUGUAAAUCCAGCCA
rnacentral:snoRNA from 1 species